ACAAGCGAGAAUUCUGGAACUGUACCUUGGGGCUCGCCCCAUGGUCCACCACCUGUGAACAACAACAAAAACCCACUGAGCAAGGCAAGGAAGUACUAUGAUUAUUAUACAACUUUUGGCAAUGGAUCUCUUGGUUCUCCCAUCGAUGAAGAACGCAGCGAAACGCGAAAGGUAGUGUGAAUUGCAGAACCGUGAACCAUCGAGUCUUUGAACGCAUCUUGCGCCAGGGGGCUAUUCCCCCCGGCAUGCCUGUUUGAGUGUUGUGAAUCCUUAUCAUUCGGUGGAAUGGAUGUGGGAGCUUGAUCCAUCGGGGUCUCUCCUGAAAAGUACGAAGGUACCACUAGGAAGAAGAGACGUUGUAGUGGGAGGCCGAUACGAACACCCCCCCCCGAUUCGACCUCAGAUCAGGUAGGACUACCCGCUGAACUUAAGCAUAUCAAUAAGCGGAGGAAGAGAAACAAACAUGGAUUCCCCUAGUAGCGGCGAGCGAAGCGGGAUGAGCCCAGAUUUGAAAGCUCCCUUGCGGGCGCAUUGUAAGCUGGAGACGUGCCUCGUGCGGUGCGGCUGGACGCCAAGUCUGCUGGAAAGCAGCAUCAGAGAGGGUGAGAAUCCCGUGCUUGGUCUGGCCUGGUGCCGUGUUGUGGGGUGCGCUCGACGAGUCGCGUUGUUUGGGAAUGCAGCGCAAAGAGGGGUGGUAAAGGCCAUCCAAGGCUAAAUAUGGGGGAGAGACCGAUAGCGAACAAGUACCGUGAGGGAAAGAUGAAAAGCACUUUGGAAAGAGAGUUAAAGAGUACGUGAAAUUGCCAAAAGGGAAGCGUUGGAAGUCAGUGCCGGAGCGGCGCCUCGUCUGCCCCCUCUCGGGGGGUGUACUGUGGCGGCGUGGGGCCCAUGUCGGUUGCGUGUGGGGGAGAAGGCGGCGCGGAAGUGGCUUUCCCUCUGGGGGGAGUGUAUAGCCGCGCUGUGGAUGCCCCGCAUGCGACCGAGGACUGCUGUUGAGUGGACCUGGGCUUAUUGGCUUUCAGCGGCCCGCUGAAAACAGGGA
rnacentral:rRNA from 1 species